AAUGGAGGCGCAAGGUUUCAAUCAAUACCAAGUCAAUAAAACAAAGGGAGUGUCAGAAGAAGAAAGCCAUCCAGUAGUAGACCUGAGCAAGCACCCUUCUGGAAUUGUCCCUACUCUCCAGAAUAUUGUCUCCACAGUCGAUCUGGAUUGCAAAUUGGAUAGCCAUUGCAUUGAAAGCUCGUAAUUCUGAAUACAACCCAAUGGCAUGUGAUGUUUUGAGCAUAGCUUCUCCCGCUCCCUUUCUCCUCUAUUUUUCUACCUUUCUUUUGUUUAAGAGCUAUAAUGUUUUUUAUACUGUGGAUCCAAGCCUUUGUUUAACGAGUACAUUAAAGCAUCUGGUAAAAUGGUAAGUAUCAAUUUCCAACCAAGGAUCUUCUUCCCUACCUUUUCUGUUUUUCAUUGACUUCCACAAAUUUCUGCAUCUUAUGCUUUGAUUUGUAAUCAUUCAAAUGAUUAAUAGACGAGGGUUUGUUUUAUGGUCUCCUCUCCUUCUCCCUCUCUAGCCUCUUGUAAUAGGUAAAAAUUGUGUAAUGAUUUCCAAUAUAAUUAAAACCUCUCGUCUGUUUCUUAUAUCCUUAGCUGUGGCAGCAUUGGUAGUUGAUAAAUUUUAUCCCUUUUUGCGAUUUUACACAUCUCUCUUCCUUUUUCAAAUCAUGCUAAUUAGUCCUUCAUAAUCAUGUUAAUGCUGGCUCGUUAUUGUUGUGGUAUAGGUUUGUAUGGGAGCUAAGAGUGAAGAACAAUCGAGAUUGGCAGCACGAAAGUAUGAACCAGAAAUUUUUCUAGGCUUGAUAUAUCGAAUGAAACAACCGAAGAUUGUGCUUCUCAUCUUUGUGUCUGGAAAAAUUGUCCUAACUGGAGCGAAGGCAAGAACCGAGACGUAUGAAGCCUUUGAGAACAUUUACCCAGUUCUUACAGGAUUCAGGAAAAAUCAGCAUUGAUUGUUUCUGGGUAAGCACAAGAGUCAUGUUCGUGGGGCGGAAUAGUGCGGCAUUUGGGCGAAUUGCCUGGGUUGAAUUGUAGAUAAGAAGACUGCAUUGUGGUGCAUUGUGGGAGUAAACGAUGAAGAGAAAUUUAGACUCUUGUUCUGUCUUUUGUUUAGUCUAAUAAUGUGAUGUGACCUUGAACAAAAUGCAAAGCGAACAAAUAGUUUUUAACACAAA